UACGUAGGGUCCGAGCGUUGUCCGGAAUUAUUGGGCGUAAAGGGCUCGUAGGCGGUUUAUCGCGUCGGGAGUGAAAACACCGGGCUUAACUCGGUGCUUGCUUUCGAUACGGGCAGACUGGAGGUAUGCAGGGGAGAACGGAAUUCCUGGUGUAGCGGUGAAAUGCGCAGAUAUCAGGAGGAACACCCGUAGCGAAGGCGGCACUCUGGGCCGAUUCUGACACUGAGGAGCGAAAGCGUGGGGAGCGAACAGG
rnacentral:rRNA from 1 species